UAAACACUCUGAAGCCACAUUGUUUGUAUAUUUUUUGAACAAUGUGUCUCAGAGUUUAGU
rnacentral:pre_miRNA from 1 species